GCGAAAGCCUGAUGCAGCGACGCCGCGUGAGGGAUGAAGGCCUUCGGGUUGUAAACCUCUUUCAGCAGGGAAGAAGCGCAAGUGACGGUACCUGCAGAAGAAGCGCCGGCUAACUACGUGCCAGCAGCCGCGGUAAUACGUAGGGCGCAAGCGUUGUCCGGAAUUAUUGGGCGUAAAGAGCUCGUAGGCGGUUUGUCGCGUCUGGUGUGAAAACUCGAGGCUCAACCUCGAGCUUGCAUCGGGUACGGGCAGACUAGAGUGCGGUAGGGGAGACUGGAAUUCCUGGUGUAGCGGUGGAAUGCGCAGAUAUCAGGAGGAACACCGAUGGCGAAGGCAGGUCUCUGGGCCGCAACUGACGCUGAGGAGCGAAAGCAUGGGGAGCGAACAGGAUUAGAUACCCUGGUAGUCCAUGCCGUAAACGUUGGGCACUAGGUGUGGGGCUCAUUCCACGAGUUCCGUGCCGCAGCAAACGCAUUAAGUGCCCCGCCUGGGGAGUACGGCCGCAAGGCUAAAACUCAAAGGAAUUGACGGGGGCCCGCACAAGCGGCGGAGCAUGCGGAUUAAUUCUAUGCAACGCGAAGAACCUUACCAAG
rnacentral:rRNA from 1 species